GUGUGUAUUAGAGGACCAAAUAUUACUAAGGGAUAUAAGAACAAUCCUGAGGCUAAUAAAUCCGCAUUUCAAUUCGGAUGGUUCCAUACCGGAGAUGUUGGGUUUUUCGACUCGGAUGGGUACUUGCAUCUCGUGGGUCGGAUCAAGGAGCUCAUUAAUCGUGGAGGCGAGAAGAUCUCACCGAUUGAAGUGGACGCAGUACUUUUGUCUCAUCAAGACGUUGCCCAGGCAGUGGCCUUCGGAGUCCCAGAUGAUAAAUAUGGGGAAGAGAUAAAUUGUGCCAUAAUUCCAAGGGAA
rnacentral:misc_RNA from 1 species